rnacentral:rRNA from 1 species
CCUACGGGUGGCAGCAGUGAGGAAUAUUGGUCAAUGGGCGUGAGCCUGAACCAGCCAAGUCGCGUGAGGGAUGAAUGUACUAUGUGUUGUAAACCUCUUUUGUCAGGGAACAAAGGCGGGUACGCAUACCCGGAUGAGGGUACCUUAAGAAAAAGGAUCGGCUAACUCCGUGCCAGCAGCCGCGGUAAUACGGAGGAUGCGAGCGUUAUCCGGGUUUAUUGGGGUUAAAGGGAGCGUUGGGGGAUUGUUAAGUCAGUUGGUAAAGUUUGCGGGUCAACCGUAAAAUUGCAGUUGAAACUGGCAGUCUUGAGUACAGUAGAGGUGGGCGGAAUUCGUGGUGUAGCGGUGAAAUGCUUAGAUAUCACGAAGAACUCCGAUUGCGAAGGCAGCUCACUGGACUGCAACUGACACUGAGGCUCGAAAGUGUGGGUAUCAAACAGGAUUAGAUACCCCUGUAGUC